rnacentral:rRNA from 1 species
CCUACGGGAGGCAGCAGUAGGGAAUCUUCCACAAUGGGCGAAAGCCUGAUGGAGCAACGCCGCGUGGGUGAAGAAGGUCUUCGGAUCGUAAAACCCUGUUGUUAGAGAAGAAAGUGCGUGAGAGUAACUGUUCACGUUUCGACGGUAUCUAACCAGAAAGCCACGGCUAACUACGUGCCAGCAGCCGCGGUACUACGUAGGUGGCAAGCGUUAGCCGGAUUGAUGGGGCGUAAAUGUAAUGCAGGCGGUCUUUUAAGUCUGAUGUGAAAGCCUUCGUCUUAACCGGAGUAGUGCAUUGGAAACUGGGAGACGUGAGUGCAGAAGAGGAGAGUGGAAGUCCAUGUGUAGCGGUGAAAGGCGUAGAUAUAUGGAAGAACACCAGUGGCGAAAGCGGCUCUCUGGUCUGUAACUGACGCUGAGGUUCGAAAGCGUGGGUAGCAAACAGGAUUAGAUACCCCAGUAGUC